GACGAACGCUGGCGGCGUGCUUAACACAUGCAAGUCGAACGGAAAGGCCCUGCUUUUGUGGGGUGCUCGAGUGGCGAACGGGUGAGUAACACGUGAGUAACCUGCCCUUGACUUUGGGAUAACUUCAGGAAACUGGGGCUAAUACCGGAUAGGAGCUCCUGCUGCAUGGUGGGGGUUGGAAAGUUUCGGCGGUUGGGGAUGGACUCGCGGCUUAUCAGCUUGUUGGUAGGGUGGUGCUUACCAAGGCUUUGACGGGUAGCCGGCCUUAGAGGGGGACCGGCCACAUUGGGACUGAGAUACGGCCCAGACUCCUACGGGAGGCAGCAGUGGGGAAUAUUGCACAAUGGGCGGAAGCCUGAUGCAGCAACGCCGCGUGCGGGAUGACGGCCUUCGAGUUGUAAACCGCUUUCGCCUGUGACGAAGCGUGAGUGACGGUAAUGGGUAAAGAAGCACCGGCUAACUACGUG
rnacentral:rRNA from 1 species